AGAGUUUGAUCCUGGCUCAGAAUUAACGCUAGCGAUACACCUAACACAUGCAAGUUGAACGCAUACAUUUUGUAUGAGUAGCGAACGGGUGCGUAACACGUGAGAAUCUACCCAUGGUUUGUGGCGAGAUGUUGCAGAAUCCCAAUGGGGUUUAGAUAUAUAUCGACCAUGGAUGAGCUUGCGGGGUAUUAGGUAGUUGGUGUGGUAAUGGCGCACCAAGCCCAAGAUGCCUAGCCGGUUUGAGAGAAUGAUCGGCCACACUGGGACUGAGACACGGCCCAGACGCUUACGAGCGGCAGCAGUGGGGAAUAUUGGACAAUGGGCGCAAGCCUGAUCCAGUGAUAUCGCUUUGAGGAUGACGGCGACAUACGUUGUAAACUCAGUGGAAUAUGUGUAGAUUAUGACCGUGCAUAUUUUAGAAGUCCCGGCUAAUCUCGUGCCAGCAGCCGCGGUAAUACGAGAGGGGCGAGCGUUAUUCAAAAUGAUUGGGCGUAAAGCGCACGUAGGUGGUGAUAUGUAGACGUCGCGAUUCAGAUUAUGAAUCUUGUCGAUCGCGGUGAUCCUAUAUAUCGCUUGAGGGCGUGAGAGGAGCAUGGAAUUCCCUAGGAAGCGGUAGAAUGUGCUGAUCUAGGGAGGAACACCAAUAGCGAAAGCAGUGCUCUAGCACGUACCUGACGCUCAUGGACGAAAGCCAGGGGAGCGAAAGGGAUUAGAUACCCCUGUAGUCCUGGCCGUAAACGAUGAACACUAGGUGUCGGGGGAAUCGACCCCCUCGGUGUCGUAGCCAACGCGUUAAGUGUUCCGCCUGGGGAGUACGCACGCAAGUGUGAAACUCAAAGGAAUUGACGGGGGCCCGCACAAGCGGUGGAGUAUGUGGUUUAAUUCGAUGCAACGCGAAGAACCUUACCAGGGUUUGACAUCCUGCGAAUCUCUUGGAAACGAGAGAGUGCCUUCGGGAGCGCAGUGACAGGUGGUGCAUGGCUGUCGUCAGCUCGUGUCGUGAGAUGUUGGGUUAAGUCCCGCAACGAGCGCAACCCACGUCUUUAGUUGCCAGCAUUGAGUUGGGCACUCUAGAGAGACCGCCGGUGAUAAACCGGAGGAAGGUGUGGAUGACGUCAAGUCAUCAUGCCCCUUACAUCCUGGGCUACACACGUACUACAAUGCUACGGACAAAGAGCAGCAAGUUCGCGAGGACAAGCAAAUCUCAUAAACCGUGGCUCAGUUCAGAUCGUAGGCUGCAACUCGCCUACGUGAAGGAGGAAUCGCUAGUAAUCGCAGGUCAGCAUACUGCGGUGAAUACGUUCCCGGGCCUUGUACACACCGCCCGUC
rnacentral:rRNA from 1 species